AUGGCUGUUCGCCAUUUAAAGUGGUACGCGAGCUGGGUUUAGAACGUCGUGAGACAGUUCGGUCCCUAUCUGCCGUGGGCGUUGGAAGAUUGAGAGGGGUUGCUCCUAGUACGAGAGGACCGGAGUGAACGCACCACUGGUGUUCGGGUUGUCAUGCCAAUGGCAUUGCCCGGUAGCUAAGUGCGGAAGAGAUAAGCGCUGAAAGCAUCUAAGCGCGAAACUUGCCUCGAGAUGAGUCUUCCCUUGGACUUUAAGUCCACUAAAGGAACGUUUAAGACUAAGACGUUGAUAGGCUGGGUGUGUAAGUGCAGCGAUGCAUUGAGCUAACCAGUACUAAUGAACCGUGAGGCUUAACCUUACAACACCGAAGGUGUUUUAG
rnacentral:rRNA from 1 species